rnacentral:lncRNA from 10 species
GGAAGGGCCUCAGAGAACGCCCGGCUACUUCAAUGCAGGUUCCCUACAGAUGCAAAUCUCUCCCACAAAAGACAGCUUUGCAGGGCUACUUCUGUUUGCAGACCCUCUGAACAGGCAUCUUAUCAAAGAAGUAUACUCUGGGGUGAAAUAUUUUGGCUUCCUUCAUCGCUAUCACUCCAGAAGCCCCAUCAUGCUUCCUUCCAGUCUUUAGACACAAGAGGAACUACAUUUCAGGUUUCUAGCAGCACAGAUGAGAUUUGUUGUUGUUUGUACUUCAGAUGAAUAGAUAUAUAAGAUACAGAAGGUACAUGUGCAGACUUGUUGCAUGGGAAUAUUGCAUGAUGCUGAGCUUUGGGGUAUGGAUCCUGUCACCUAGCUUGUGAAUAUAGUACCUGGAAAAAUGAGUUUGCACGAACAAAUUGAAGGAUGGCGAACAUGGAGGAUUUUAUUGAACUAUGAAAGUGGCUCUCCGUGGGCAGGGGAGCUAAAAAGGCGACGGGACAGGCAGGUGCAAAGUUAGAUUGCUCAUUUGAGACCUGUCUGACUUAUCCAUGAAGACACUUAGGGCUAUAAACUUUCCUCUUAAGACUACUUUGGCUGCAUCUCAGAGAUUUGAGAUGGGUCUCUCUAUAUUGCCCAGUCUGGUCUCGAAAUCUUGGCUUCGAACUAUUCUCUCACCUUGGCUUUCUAAUGUGCUGGGGCUACAGACAUGAGCUGGCAGGCCUGGCCUAGAUUAACCACCAGAGAAAAACACAUUUCCUGUCGUUUCUCCAAUCAGACCCGAAGUAUCGGAACAGAUAUGAACAAUUCUCCUUUUUUUUUUUUCCCAGACAGCAAUUUAGAAUAAUUAGGGUAAUUUAUACAUAAGGCUCUGGCCCAGACCUUAUAUAAUAGAUCUUGGAAAUGACCAUUAUCUUAAAGGUGACAUUUAAAUUAAAAACAGUGGCAGUGAGCAUAAAGUUUGAAAGCACAGGCUGUGCAGUCAUGCAUAGUGGCUCUGUUAGGAAUUUGUCUCUCCCACUACAUGUUUUGUAGCUUUAGAAAAGUUAUUAAUGUCCCUAAGCCUCCAUUUGCAAAACUGGAAUGAAUAUGAAAAGAUUGUUGAGAGAAAUACAAAUUUAAUCCAUAUAAAACCCUUUGUAUGAUAUCUGAAAUAGAAUAAGAAGAUAAAUAUUUCUUAUUAUUAAGCUGCCUUUGAAAUAAUUGCCUCGAAUGACACUGAGCCUGUGAUCUGAAUUUAGGUUUGCUGUAUACAUGUCUUAGAGGCAACUCUAAACUGAAAAAUAAAAAUGAGUAAAUCUGCAACAUCAAAUCUUUGAGCAUUUCUAUUGAUUUCAGUUUGGUAUGCUUAUGAAACUUUAGCUUACAAGCCACUUCCAGUGAAUGCUACUCUCAACUAAUGAUGUCAUCAUCGCAUUUCUUUAUCCUCUCACACCUGCAAGUUUUGCUUCCAAGCUAAACACCCACACUAUCUGCUGC